AUAAACAGAGGAGAGAAGAAGCCUGCGUCAGCUGCUCCGAGCAUCGAUUCCUGUCACUGUCUCAAGAAGAGCGACGAUCUCUGGAGGAUUUUUCUAAACUUAUCUCAAGGCCACUUUCAUCAUGGAUCUAACCAUCAGUCUGAUGAAUGGGAGCUCCCACAUCCUGAGGGUGCACCCGCAUGACACAGUGAGCUCUCUGAAAAUACUCAUCCAGCAGAAACUAGGGUUUUCAUGUGAGACCCAGAAGCUGGUCUUUGAGAACGGCUGCAGCACAACUCUCAACAACGAGUCUGCGACCCUCGAGUCCUACGGCCUGCACUCCGGGGCCAGGGUGAACCUGCUGGUGAUCACACCGGCCAUAAUCCAGGUGUUCCUCAAAAACGAGAAGGGGGUAAACACCACGUAUGAAAUCAAACCGGAUGAGACGGUGAGCCACUUCAAGAGCAGGGUGCAUGCCAGAGAGCGGGUCCCGGUGGACCAGCAGAGGCUCACCCACGAGAGCAGAGAGAUGAACGAGGGGAAACUCUCCGACUACAACGUCCGAGCGCAUAGCACCAUCUUCCUGAUGCUGCGCCUGAGAGGAGGCUGUGGACACUUCCAGUUAAAAGACAUUUCUGAACAUUCCUUUAUUUCAUCUUAAAAUGAAGAUCAUUUAGCUUGUAUUUUAUUUAUUUAAAUUUAAAUUGCUCUCAUUAAUACAUUCCUUGAUUAGAAAUCAUUCCAAAAAGAAAACUUUCUUUGUUUUGGCUUUACAAAUAUGUUAUAAACACGUCUUCAUGUUAUAAUUUUAUUAUGACACUUCAAAUCUGACUACAUCAAAUGUACACUGUUAAAAAAUAAUAAAGAUCUUAAUUUUGCAUGUCUGUUCUCAUUUCCUGUUCUUUGCUGAAUCUUCAGCUCAGGGUUGAGCUGCACUCUGUACAGACCA